UACGGAGGGUGCAAGCGUUAUCCGGAUUCACUGGGUUUAAAGGGUGCGUAGGCGGGCAGGUAAGUCAGUGGUGAAAUCUUUGGGCUUAACCCGAAAACUGCCAUUGAUACUAUCUGUCUUGAAUAUUGUGGAGGUGAGCGGAAUAUGUCAUGUAGCGGUGAAAUGCUUAGAUAUGACAUAGAACACCCAUUGCGAAGGCAGCUCACUACGCAUAUAUUGACGCUGAUGCACGAAAGCGUGGGGAGCAAACAGGA
rnacentral:rRNA from 1 species